rnacentral:rRNA from 1 species
UCAGGACGAACGUUGGCGGCGUGCUUACACAUGCAAGUCAAUGGGAAAGGUUGUCUUCGGACGGCCGAGUAUACUGGCGAACGGGUGAGUAACGCGUAGGUAACUUGCCUAUCAGUCUGGGAUAACACUGCUAACGCGGUGCUAAUACCGGGUAUACUGCAUAGAUCGCAUGUUUUUUGCAGGAAAGCGGGCCUCUGGAACAAGCUCGUGCUGAUAGAUAGACCUGCGUCCCAUUAGUUAGUUGGUAGGGUAACGGCCUACCAAUGCAGCGAUGGGUAGCCGGCCUGAGAGGGUGACCGGCCACACUGGGACUGAGAUACGGCCCAGACUCCUACGGGAGGCAGCAGUGAGGAAUAUUGCGCAAUGGACGAAAGUCUGACGCAGCAACGCCGCGUGAGGGAUGAAGCUUUUCGGAGUGUAAACCUCUGUUAGGAGGGAAGAACGUCUAUUAUUCGAACAGGGUGAUAGAGUGACGGUACCUCCAGAGAAAGCCCCGGCUAACUCCGUGCCAGCAGCCGCGGUAAUACGGGGGGGGCGAACGUUGUCCGGAAUUAUUGGGCGUAAAGGGCGCGUAGGCGGGAAGGUCAGUCAGAGGUGAAAGCUUGUGGCUUAACUGCAAGUUUGCCUUUGAUACUGCCAUUCUUGAGUUCGGAAGAGGGAAGUGGAAUUCCUGGUGUAGCGGUGAAAUGCGUAGAUAUCAGGAAGAACACCGGUGGCGAAGGCGGCUUCCUGGUCCGAUACUGACGCUGAUGCGCGAAAGCGUGGGGAGCAAACAGGAUUAGAUACCCUGGUAGUCCACGCUGUACACGAUGGGUACUAGGUGUAGGGUUUAAUUACUCAGAGCCGGAACUAACGCAUUCAGUACCCCGUCUGGGGAGUACGAUCGCAA